GUCGAGGGGCAGCAUGACGAUUGCUUGCAAUUGUUGAUGGCGACCGGCGCACGGGUGAGUAACGCGUAUCCAACCUUCCCCUUAGUAGGGCAUAGCCCGGCGAAAGUCGGAUUAAUACCCUAUGUUUUCCAAUGAGGACAUCUGAGCUGGAACAAAGAUUUAUCGCUAAGGGAUGGGGAUGCGUCUGAUUAGCUUGUUGGCGGGGUAACGGCCCACCAAGGCAACGAUCAGUAGGGGUUCUGAGAGGAAGGUCCCCCACAUUGGUACUGAGCCAGGAUCAAACUC
rnacentral:rRNA from 1 species